GCUUACGGCCAUACCACCUUGGGCACGCCCGAUCUCGUCUGAUCUCGGAAGCUAUGCAGGGUCGGGCCUGGUUAGUACUUGGAUGGGUGACCGCCUGCGAAUACCAGGUGCUGUAAGCA
rnacentral:rRNA from 1 species